GACGGGGGGGGCAAGUGUUCUUCGGAAUGACUGGGCGUAAAGGGCACGUAGGCGGUGAAUCGGGUUGAAAGUGAAAGUCGCCAAAAACUGGCGGAAUGCUCUCGAAACCAAUUCACUUGAGUGAGACAGAGGAGAGUGGAAUUUCGUGUGUAGGGGUGAAAUCCCGAGAUCUACGAAGGAACGCCAAAAGCGAAGGCAGCUCUCUGGGACGGUACUGACGCUGAGACGCGAAAGCGUGGGGAGCAAACAGG
rnacentral:rRNA from 1 species